UACGUAGGCAGCAAGCGUUGUUCGGAAUUACUGGGCGUAAAGAGUGUGUAGGCGGUGCUCUAAGUUCGGUGUGAAAUCUCCCGGCUUAACUGGGAGGGUGCAGCGGAAACUAGAGUGCUAGAGGGUGGGAGAGGUAAGCGGAAUUCCCGGUGUAGCGGUGAAAUGCGUAGAUAUCGGGGAGGAACACCUGUGGCGAAAGCGGCUCACUGGACCACAACUGACGCUGAUGCGCGAAAGCUAGGGGAGCAAACAGG
rnacentral:rRNA from 1 species